rnacentral:rRNA from 1 species
GAUGAACGCUGGCGGCGUGCCUAAUACAUGCAAGUCGAGCGAACGGACGAGAGGCUUGCUUCUCUGAUGUUAGCGGCGGACGGGUGAGUAACACGUGGAUAACCUACCUAUAAGACUGGGAUAACUUCGGGAAACCGGAGCUAAUACCGGAUGAUAUUUUGAACCGCAUGGUUCAAAAGUGAAAGACGGUCUUGCUGUCACUUAUAGAUGGAUCCGCGCUGCAUUAGCUAGUUGGUAAGGUAACGGCUUACCAAGGCAACGAUGCAUAGCCGACCUGAGAGGGUGAUCGGCCACACUGGAACUGAGACACGGUCCAGACUCCUACGGGAGGCAGCAGUAGGGAAUCUUCCGCAAUGGGCGAAAGCCUGACGGAGCAACGCCGCGUGAGUGAUGAAGGUCUUCGGAUCGUAAAACUCUGUUAUUAGGGAAGAACAUAUGUGUAAGUAACUGUGCACACCUUGACGGUACCUAAUCAGAAAGCCACGGCUAACUACGUG